rnacentral:rRNA from 1 species
UACGUAGGGUGCAAGCGUUAAUCGGAAUUACUGGGCGUAAAGCGUGCGCAGGCGGUGAUGUAAGACAGAUGUGAAAUCCCCGGGCUCAACCUGGGAACUGCAUUUGUGACUGCAUCGCUGGAGUGCGGCAGAGGGGGAUGGAAUUCCGCGUGUAGCAGUGAAAUGCGUAGGUAUGCGGAGGAACACCGAUGGCGAAGGCAAUCCCCUGGGCCUGCACUGACGCUCAUGCACGAAAGCGUGGGGAGCAAACAGG